rnacentral:rRNA from 1 species
UCUUUAACGGCCGCAGUACUCUGACUGUGCUAAGGUAGCAUAAUAAUUUGUCUCUUAAAUGGAGUCUGGUAUGAAAGGCAUUAUGGGGAUAAGCUGUCUUACAUUAAUUUUAUUAAAGUUACUUAGGAGGUGAAAAUACCUCUAAUCUAAAAAAUUAGACGAGAAGACCCUUAGAAUUAUAAACAAUACUAUGAUAAAAGAAAAGUUUUUGUUGGGGCAACAUUAUCAGAGGUAAAACUGAUAAUAUAAAAGUUAUACAAAACCAUUAUAUUAAACAAGAAUUUAAUUACCUGAGGGAUAACAGCAUAAUUCAAGAAUGAGAGUAUGACCUCGAUGUUGGACUAGGGACUCUUUACACUAGCCGUGGGAAGAGAUUGUUCUGUUCG